rnacentral:rRNA from 1 species
GACGAACGCUGGCGGCGUGCUUAACACAUGCAAGUCGAACGGAAAGGCCCUGCUUGCAGGGUACUCGAGUGGCGAACGGGUGAGUAACACGUGGGUGAUCUGCCCUGCACUUCGGGAUAAGCCUGGGAAACUGGGUCUAAUACCGGAUAGGAGCCAUUUUUAGUGUGAUGGUUGGAAAGUUUUUUCGGUGUAGGAUGAGCUCGCGGCCUAUCAGCUUGUUGGUGGGGUAAUGGCCUACCAAGGCGGCGACGGGUAGCCGGCCUGAGAGGGUGGACGGCCACAUUGGGACUGAGAUACGGCCCAGACUCCUACGGGAGGCAGCAGUGGGGAAUAUUGCACAAUGGGCGCAAGCCUGAUGCAGCGACGCCGCGUGGGGGAUGACGGCCUUCGGGUUAUAAACUCCUUUCGCUAGGGACGAAGCUUUUUGUGACGGUACCUAGAUAAGAAGCACCGGCUAACUACGUG